AGAGUUUGAUCCUGGCUCAGGACGAACGCUGGCGGCGUGCCUAAUACAUGCAAGUAGAACGCUGAGAACUGGUGCUUGCACCGGUUCAAGGAGUUGCGAACGGGUGAGUAACGCGUAGGUAACCUACCUCAUAGCGGGGGAUAACUAUUGGAAACGAUAGCUAAUACCGCAUAAGAGAGACUAACGCAUGUUAGUAAUUUAAAAGGGGCAAUUGCUCCACUAUGAGAUGGACCUGCGUUGUAUUAGCUAGUUGGUGAGGUAAAGGCUCACCAAGGCGACGAUACAUAGCCGACCUGAGAGGGUGAUCGGCCACACUGGGACUGAGACACGGCCCAGACUCCUACGGGAGGCAGCAGUAGGGAAUCUUCGGCAAUGGGGGCAACCCUGACCGAGCAACGCCGCGUGAGUGAAGAAGGUUUUCGGAUCGUAAAGCUCUGUUGUUAGAGAAGAAUGAUGGUGGGAGUGGAAAAUCCACCAAGUGACGGUAACUAACCAGAAAGGGACGGCUAACUACGUGCCAGCAGCCGCGGUAAUACGUAGGUCCCGAGCGUUGUCCGGAUUUAUUGGGCGUAAAGCGAGCGCAGGCGGUUUUUUAAGUCUGAAGUUAAAGGCAUUGGCUCAACCAAUGUACGCUUUGGAAACUGGAGAACUUGAGUGCAGAAGGGGAGAGUGGAAUUCCAUGUGUAGCGGUGAAAUGCGUAGAUAUAUGGAGGAACACCGGUGGCGAAAGCGGCUCUCUGGUCUGUAACUGACGCUGAGGCUCGAAAGCGUGGGGAGCAAACAGGAUUAGAUAUCCUGGUAGUCCACGCCGUAAACGAUGAGUGCUAGGUGUUAGGCCCUUUCCGGGGCUUAGUGCCGGAGCUAACGCAUUAAGCACUCCGCCUGGGGAGUACGACCGCAAGGUUGAAACUCAAAGGAAUUGACGG
rnacentral:rRNA from 1 species